AUGCUGCUGCUGCUGGCAGCACUUGUGGCCACCACCACUUGGUCUGAUGGAUUUGCACAGGAAAUUCCCACACAGACCCCUGUAUCCAUCACCAAAGUCUCAAGGAAGUAACACGUCUGCUGUGUCAUUUUAAACAUGUCUCUGAAGAUUUUGAUAACACACCAUCAUACACUGGUACCAACAGAAGGUGAAUAAAGCUCCAGAGUGGAUGUUCUACAUUUCAACAGGGACAACGAAAGCAGAUAAAGAGCUUCCAAGGGCGCAAGUAUGCAGUUGAAAGGGUUUCUGACCAGAAAAUGUGUACUCUUACAAUAAAAAACAUAGCUCAGGAUGCUGCUGCUACCUACUACUGUGCCUACUGGUACCCUCACUACGGCAAAAACCCAGCAAUCACCUCGACCAAUACUCUCUCGGUGGCUCAACCACAAACGAUUUGA